UGGGGAAUUUUGGACAAUGGGCGCAAGCCUGAUCCAGCCAUGCCGCGUGCGGGAAGAAGGCCUUCGGGUUGUAAAGCUCUGUCGCAGGGGAAUAACACAAUGAAUGUACCCUGCAAGAAAGGAUCGGCUAACUCUGUGCCAGCAGCCGCGGUAAUACAGAGGGUGCAAGCGUUAAUCGGAAUUACUGGGCGUAAAGCGUGCGCAGGCGGUUUUGUAAGUCUGAUGUGAAAUCCCCGGGCUCAACCUGGGAAUUGCAUUGGAGACUGCAAGGCUAGAAUCUGGCAGAGGGGGGUAGAAUUCCACGUGUAGCAGUGAAAUGCGUAGAUAUGUGGAGGAACACCGAUGGCGAAGGCAGCCCCCUGGGUCAAGAUUGACGCUCAUGCACGAAAGCGUGGGGAGCAAACA
rnacentral:rRNA from 1 species